rnacentral:misc_RNA from 1 species
CCAAUAGCGUAUAUUAAAGUUGUUGCAGUUAAAAAGCUCGUAGUUGAAUUUCGGGAUCAAGUCGUCGGUCGUGCCUCGGUACGCACUGGUGACAUUGGUUUCUCCCUUCUGAAGAACCUUGAUGUCAUUAAUUUGGUGUCUUGGGGAAUCAGGACUGUUACUUUGAAAAAAUUAGAGUGUUUAAAGCAGGCUCACGCUUGAAUACAUUAGCAUGGAAUAAUGAAAUAGGACGUUUGGUUCUAUUUUGUUGGUUUCUAGGAUCGACGUAAUGAUUAAUAGGGAUAGUUGGUGGGAUUAGUAUUCAAUUGUCAGAGGUGAAAUUCUUGGAUUUAUUGAAGACUAACUACUGCGAAAGAAUUUGCCAAGGAUGUUUUCAUUAAUCAAGAACGAAAGUUAGGGGAUCGAAGACGAUCAGAUACCGUCGUAGUCUUAACCAUAAACUAUGCCGACUAGGGAUCGGAUGAUGUUAAUUUUUUAAUGACUCAUUCGGCGCCUUACG